GGCAUUAUAUGGCAAAGUGGUUUGAGUGUUGGACUAUGACUUUGGAGACCAGAGUUUGAAUCCCUGUUGUGCCG